rnacentral:piRNA from 1 species
UAAAUGGAUAAGAAAUCAAAAUGGCUAUCUC